AGCUUUGCGCAGUGGCAGUAUCGUAGCCAAUGAGGUUUAUCCGAGGCGCGAUUAUUGCUAAUUGAAAUUACUAUGCUGAAAAAGACAACAUAUAAACACUAAAAGGGCUGAUAAGACAAAUACUGUCCAAAAAAUCCUUUA